rnacentral:rRNA from 1 species
UACGUAGGGGGCAAGCGUUGUCCGGAUUUAUUGGGCGUAAAGCGCGUGUAGGCGGCCAGAUAGGUCUGCUGUGAAAACUCGAGGCUCAACCCCGAGCGGUCGUGGGAAACUGGCAGCUAGAGUGCGGGGAGAGGAGAAUGGAAUUCCUGGUGUAGCGGUGAAAUGCGCAGAUAUCAGGAAGAACACCCGUGGCGAAGGCGGUUCUCUGGAACGCAACUGACGCUGAGACGCGAAAGCGUGGGGAGCAAACAGG